UACGAAGGGGGCUAGCGUUGCUCGGAAUCACUGGGCGUAAAGGGUGCGUAGGCGGGUCUUUAAGUCAGGGGUGAAAUCCUGGAGCUCAACUCCAGAACUGCCUUUGAUACUGAGGAUCUUGAGUUCGGGAGAGGUGAGUGGAACUGCGAGUGUAGAGGUGAAAUUCGUAGAUAUUCGCAAGAACACCAGUGGCGAAGGCGGCUCACUGGCCCGAUACUGACGCUGAGGCGCGAAAGCAUGGGGAGCGAACGGG
rnacentral:rRNA from 1 species